UAAAUCUUUUCUCUUUGAGCUGCUAAACACAGGUAUUUGCAUUUAUGUAUUUUUUUUUCUUCCUGGCAUCACAGAACAAAGACAAAGAAGACAAAAAAAACAACCAAACAAAUGGUGGAAGAUCCAAGUUCGAAGCCCAACAGCAGAAUAGCACUUUUUGAUGAAAUAGAUCCAGACGCGGGUUUGUUUGAACCAAGCAAAAAUCCCUCAACAAACACAAAGAAACCAUUAACUGCUGCAGAUGGGAAAGAAAACUCUAUUAAUCAUUUCACAGUAAAUAAAGUUAUUUGAAGAACAAGACCUUGGAGGCACCGUGCAGUUAGGCGAUUCUCUCUUAAUGCCAUCUGCCUUCAAGGCUAAGGAUUUGUUUAAACCAGCCACCAGCGAGGACCUGGAUGAACUGUUCAGGGUCGAAGAAGGCUUUGAGAAACUGUUGAACCAAAACCAAAGAAGAAAGGCAAGCCCCCAGUACCAGCAAAACCAUCUUUCACCAAAGCGUCCGGUGAUUCUGAAAAACUGCCUGUGCCCCCGGCAAAGAGAGAGGCCAAUAUAGAAGCCAUGGAUGAGUCAGACACCCUCAGGUACAUCACAGAGAAUCAGCAAGAACACAGUGACUCAGUCAAUCUCUUCUGAACGGUUAGUUAGACACAUUCCUUCUGCCGAGGCCUCCUUAGUGCCCUGCCGCACAUACACAGAACUCUGUUCUCAGCAGCCACAUGCAAUGAAUGCUCCUAAACUUUAGCCAACCGUCUGGGUUCCUCCUCAAAAAACGCCUUGAUCCUUCUCCUAAAUGGAAUAGGGAAAAUAUCAAAGAGUGAUGUGUGGAUGAAUCCCUUGAAUGGGUUUCAUGCAUUUGAUGUGUAAACAGGUAUCGGAUUUAUUAUGUUUAUGAAAACAACUUUGAUGAUGUUUUAAUGAACAAAUAAAAAAAAGUAUGAAGUAACGUGUCAAGGUUAUGCACAAAUAUGGCCAACGUGUGCCUUUGCUGUGCAAUCUGUACCAGCUUUCAUCGUUGGCAGUUAACCAGUAGAUGCCAAAUGUUGACUGGCUGCUUUAGAGGACAAAAAAACAUGCUUGUGUUUGGGCAUAGUCGGGCACUGUAAUGCUAGUCCUACACCAUUAUCAUGAACUGGAGAGAGUAGAUCGGCCAAAACUGACCAGUGACUCAACUGGCACCUGUAUGUGAUAACUGGCUGAACUGGACGUUCCAUUGCUACAGAUUGGUCCAACUGGGCACGGCUGAUAUCUAUUUAUCUAAGUUUUCCAGCCAGGAAUAGAGGGGUGUAUGUGACCACUGAUUUAUUUUUUAAUCUAAACAUAUCUCUUAAACAAGACUGAGAUGGAUUGACCAGUAAAAGUGAAGUAAAACUAAUGAAAGCAAAAUCCUGGUUGGUUGCUCUGUCUUAUCACUUCAUAUCGGAAAUGAUGUGAAGAUUCUUAGUUAUUUUUAGCUUUUGUAACUGUCUGAAGUUAAACAUACUUUUUGUUAUUGGAUUUGAUGUGGCAGAUCACGGGUGAACCUCAAAAUGUCCACCCGACACCAACCUUAGCCUGCUCACUUCCAACUGGAAACCAAUACAACCCAGCAUGUUAUCCUUACCUAUAUACCAACGCUCACCCUGCCCCUCUCUGACAUUACUUGAGGGGAGCAGGACAGGCACAAUAUAUCAAUAAAUAGGAAUGCACUGAAUCCAGGAUUCGGUUUGGUAUUCAGCCAUUUUCAUCAGGAUUCAACAAAAUCCUAUAACUUUUUGUCACAAAACAAGGAAGUAAAAAAUUUUUUCCCUCCCCCUCACUGAUUUGCAUAUAGGGUUCAGAUUCAGUUCAGUAUUCGUCCGAAUCUUUCACAAAGGAUUCCGGGGUUCAGACAAAUCCAAAAUAGUGGAUUCGGUGGAUCCCUAUCAAUAAGUGACAGCCAAAAGAUGGAGCAGAAAUUGGAGGGAGCUGAAAUUGUGGGUGGGUUCAACCGAGGACAAAUUCAACCAGCCACCAGCCCAUGACCCGGAAUUCUGCGUUGGCCUGGACCUGCCUGACCCAUGAGUCCCAAGUGUUUUGGUACAAUCGUACCCAUGCUAAAGCUUUUACCUAUACGUUUAAAAGGGAAGUAGUGAGAGGCACCGAGGGUCAUUUUGAGUGUUCCUCAUGCUCAUGUUUAGUUCUAACACCUCCUAGUGCUUGUGAAUUGUGUGCGCAAAAAACAUUGCUAAUGGUACACUUGACUUGUAACCUUGAGAGAACAAAGCAGAGUGUAAUAUGGCAGCCCACCAGAUCCCCCAAUCACCAGAAGCACAUUGCCAAUGGAAGCCAGGACAAAAUUGGCUUCCCCUUCUCAUGCUACUGCUUCGUGCUCAGAGCCAGGGAAGAUUUAGUGGAACGCUGAACUAAAGUAAAAAUUAAAGAUGUAAACUAUGGCUCCCCAAGUAUGUAAUAUGGUCCAGGAGCACCAACCCCAAACCCUCAGCAAAGUGUGCGGAAAAACUGGAUAUCUCAACCACAAAAAUUGGGAUUUAGGCACUCAAAAACCACGGAGGUCACCAAAAAAAUUAUUUAAAAACAAAAAACUUUGUGCAUUACACUUUUUAUGCUUUCUGAGCAGUUAGUCAAAUGAUCAGUGCCAGGGAGUCAGAUAUAAGAAAUUAUGUGUCCAAAUAUGGUGGCUGCAAAUCCCAGUUCAUUGAAAUGGCAUGUGUGGUGGUUAUUGCUGUCCUUCAGGGCUUUUACAGUAACUGGUAUUACAUUGUACAAAAGCAAAGUGGGGCACCCUAUUGGGGGAUGUCUAACCUGUAGGUUGCACUACAACUCCCAGUACUGAAUAUAUCUUUAUAAGGGAGUGACUGAGAUAGUAAAGUCAGCAGGUAGCAUAGAAAUUACUUAGAAAUCUUGCUGGUUGCUAUGGGUUACUAGACCUGCUUAAUUGCUUAAGGCAUUAGAGCCUCUUUAACUCAACACAAGUAAACCGUAAAAGAUGCACAUAACCAUACGACGAAUAGUGACUAAGAAUGCUGGGAUAUGGAUAAUUCCCCUUCUUUCUCCCUGUAUGCUGUCUGUAGGUCAAUAAGAAAUAUAAUGUGAACUAUUUUGUAGUUAUAAUGAAGAAAUAAUUGCAAAUUGCACUCUAAUCUGCUAUUAUUAUAAACAUGAAGGAAAGCAGCUCACCGCACCCUAGUGAAUGCACACUUGGAGCUUGCACAAUAAGGAGACUGGGAGCUGGAAAUUAGGAAGUGCUGUGUGCUUAGAUUUAGGGGCUUACUGUAUGUGCGGGACAUUGUGUGUGUUUUAUGGCAAGGCUAUCAGUGGAACAGGCGUCUCUAUGAGGUCCAGACAUGAGCCAAACUGUACUUCAUUUCAUAUUAAGUGGAAUGUUUAAUGUACCGUACGUACCGCUGUCGACUGGAUCCUCUCUCAGUUCUGCUGGAUCUGUUUUCCCUCAUCUAUAUUUACUUAUUACCUUAUCUGUAUUGCUGGAAUCCUUUUAUAAUUGUAUUAAUUCAUGCCCAUGAUCCUUUUAUAAUUGUAUUAAUUCAGAUGAUUUUUGGCAAUAAAUGAGAAGUGAAUUACA